UCCGUAGGUGAACCUGCGGAAGGAUCAUUAUCGAAUAAACUAGGUAGACGCUGUUGCUGUCCCUCUCGGGGGAAUCUUGUGCACGCAUCUGCCUUUUUUGUUUAUCCACCUGUGCACACACUGUAGGUCUGGGGGAAGUCUUGUAAGGGAGGUAACUCUCUGAAGGGCUUCAUUCAUUCCCAGGUCCUAUGUAUUUUUACAUAUACACUAUAGAAAGUAACAGAACGAAUCAAUGGGCGUUAGCCUAUAAACUAUAUACAACUUUCAGCAACGGAUCUCUUGGCUCUCGCAUCGAUGAAGAACGCAGCGAAAUGCGAUAAGUAAUGUGAAUUGCAGAAUUCAGUGAAUCACCGAAUCUUUGAACGCACAUUGCGCCCCCUGGCAUUCCGGGGGGCAUGCCUGUCCGAGCGUCAUUGCUGCCCAUCAAGCCCGGCUUGUGUGUUGGGUCGUCGUCCCCCCCGGGGGACGGGCCCGAACGGCAGCGGCGGCACCGUGUCCGGUCCUCGAGCGUAUGGGGCUUUGUCACCCGCUCGACUAGGGCCGGCCGGGCGCCAGCCGACGUCUCCAACCAUUUUUCUUCAGGUUGACCUCGGAUCAGGUAGGGAUACCCGCUGAGCUUAAGCAUAUCAAUAAGCGGAGGAAAAGAAACCAACCGGGAUUGCCUCAGUAACGGCGAGUGAAGCGGCAAGAGCUCAAAUUUGAAAUCUGGCCCCUCCGGGGUCCGAGUUGUAAUUUGCAGAGGAUGCUUCGGGUGCGGCCCCUGUCUAAGUGCCCUGGAACGGGCCGUCAGAGAGGGUGAGAAUCCCGUCUUGGGCAGGGUGCCCGUGCCCGUGUGAAGCUCCUUCGACGAGUCGAGUUGUUUGGGAAUGCAGCUCAAAAUGGGUGGUAAAUUUCAUCUAAAGCUAAAUACCGGCCGGAGACCGAUAGCGCACAAGUAGAGUGAUCGAAAGAUGAAAAGCACUUUGAAAAGAGGGUUAAACAGCACGUGAAAUUGUUGAAAGGGAAACGCUUGAAGU
rnacentral:rRNA from 1 species